UUAGUAACAUUAGGAAAAUUUUAAUUCUGAGAUCUUACAACAUGGUUCACAUAAAUACCAACAACUCAGAUAUGUUAUUUCAAAAUCUCACCAGAGUUCUAAAGAGUCUUCUAGUCAACACAACAACUCUUAAGAUUUAAGGCUCCAACAUCUUGGCUCCUAAACAAACUAACAUACGCUGCCACACACACCCCACUAUAAGAAAUAAAUUGCUUGUCUGUCUAAGCAGUUUUAUAGCUUUAUGCACUAUCAUGUAGCUUGGUAAUUAUGAAGCUGCAUCAGAGACCAUUUCAGAACAAAACCUACUAUAUCAAAUUUAAUUUGACUGUAAUAAAUGUAUUGAAAAACCACAAGCAUGCACAAAGAAAAAAUUCUUCUCCUUAUACUAGCAUUUGUAUUCCACAUAUGGAGAAUUAUGUGAUAAGAUGAUGCCUGUUAAAUCCAUAAGGUAAUUUCCUGGUUCCUUAAUUUACAGUACCUGUGUUUCAGAGACAGUGGCUGGGAUCUCAAAGAAUUUUUAUCCAUCAUUUCUUUACCCCAGACAUACCCAAGGGUUUGACUUUAUAUUUUCUGAUUAGCAGUUAAGCAAACAUAUAAUGCUUUAUAUAUCAAAGCUAGUAAAUAUAGGAAAAAAAUGGGGGUUUAGGCAGAAAAAACCCCCUCCCUCAUUGUACCAUAAAUCGGUGGAAUUAAACACUAUUAAAAACUUAAAGUACACUUCAAGCAAUUUUUUGCAUUUAAUUACUAAAUAACUUUUUUGGUCAAAUCCCAUAUGUUGACCUAUGACAUUGUUUAAAUAGUGCCAAAUUUUCUUGUCAUAUCCCCAUUACUUUCACAACCAUUGAUGCAGUGCAGAAAUGCUACUGUGUGUCUCUAUAAGGGUUAAUUUACCAACAACUCUUCUCUUGGGAAAGCCCUAAGAUGGAGGUUAAUAAAGGUCAAGCAAAAAAUAAACACUUUACAGUAUUUUUUGAAUCCAUUCCUCAGGAAAAUCAACUUAUAAUAAAAAGGUCUUUGUGCAAUUACUGCUAUGGCGCUGGGGCGUGAAAGAAACUAGCUUUACGCAGCUAUUUCUCUCAUUUUAGCUGAGGUAAGCCUGGCUGUGUGUUUUAGGUUAUGCAUUAAACUUGGUCAGAUUGGAGUUGAUCCCCAUGUGCCCACAACAGACAUUCAGCUCUGAUAAAAUGGCGCUGGUUUUGCUGCCUAGUGUUUCUAUACAUUGGCUCUACAGGAGCACAGCAAAGGAAAACUGCAGGCUUUGUUUGAUAGAAGCAACUGUACUGGAAGAAAUUCAAUGCAAUAUAACUUGCAAAAAAAUUGCAGUAGUUUCUAAAUAACAUCUAAUCAAAUGGAGCCAAAAUCAUAAAAAAAUAUCCCUCAUAUAAAGCAUUUACAUGGAGCUGCAAAGGUACAAGACUCCAGCACAGUCUCACAAGACACAGAAGAGAUCAGAGUACUGCGGUUUGAGAGAAGGUGCAAACAUACCCACCACAGUAUUUCACUCCACUGUGUCAUAAAGAUAAUUUGAAACAUUCCAUAACCAAAUCCUACAAUGCAUUCCUGUAGAUUUUGAUCUACUCAGCUGUACAGAUUUUGUUUAAACUCUCAAAUAGAAGCACUUCUGUAAGUGUGGGGAAUUACCAUUUCAAGUUCUGGCUAUCUGCUAUUCUUCCUACUCUGAAUUCAGGAGCAGGUCUUCAGUCUAUAUAAAUCAGCAUAACUUUGACUAUAGGUUACAUUUAGGUUGUAAGUUUGGAUUUACAAUUAAGAGACUUAAACAGACUGAAAAAAGCUCAUACUGAAAGGCCAUCAUUCCCUCCCACAGGUCUUCCCUCUGGCACGUAUGAAAUACUAUUCCUACAUAAGUGUUGGUUUCACACAAAAUUAUUAUAUACAUGGGUGUCCAUUUUCAGCAGAGGUCAACUGAAAAGCACAAAUAAACACUGAAAAGGAAGAGAAUGUGAAAGUAUCACUGAUCACAGAACUCUUAAAUACAUAACAUGAAUGCAAAAAAUUCCAGUUAACUCCUUAAUUUUUGACACUUUCUAUUCCUGAGAGUUUUAUUAUUAUGAAGAUGAUGGGUUUGAUUUUACUGAGCGGGGGGAGAAAUUGGGAGGAGGCGUUGAUCGGUGUACUUCAUAAAAUCGGCUACAUGCCCAGAAAUUUUAAUUGCUGAGAUGUUCCUCAGGUCUUUCUGAAAACCAAGACGGGAGCAGAUGCCCAAGAAACACUCUGACUCUGUCUCUUCCCAUUCGUAAAAAUAGCACAUUGUUGGAUCGGCACUUUCCCCUUUUGUCUGCUCUGUGCUAAGUCGUUGAUGAUGCCAUUUUUUGCCAUCUGCCCCAGAGCUUCAUUAAAGAUACAUGAAUGGACUAACUGGGCUGCUAUCUUGUGAGGAACAGGUGCUAUUGUUUGUCCCCAAAGACUUGCACUAAAGAUCUCACUCAGAAUACUUGAGAAAGAGCAUCUGCAGCAGUCAGUCAGAGAGUAACUUGGCAGAGCCCAUGCUAUGGGCUAAUAUGCAAACAGAGACACUCAGGGGGACUCAUUUUCUCUUUCAUGAAGUUUUUUUUUAUUUUUUUGAGGGUGUUUUUGGGUGUUUUUUUUGGGUUUGGUUGUUUUUUGCUUUUUGGGGGUUUUUUUGAUGGGUAGUAAAUGUUUGAUUUUGAACAAUUCUGCCAGUCUGUAUUUUCAACUGAAUGUACAAACCCUGGAGGAGACCAGACUAUAUUCUCUCCAAAAUUCAGUUCUGCUGCCUCAAGUACAUUCGACUCUUGCAUAAAGCUACCUCAUGAAAUUAAUCUUUGUUUCUAUACAACAAGCUCAGGUUUAACUGUGUUAAACACAAAAAUCUGCCAAGAUUGGGAACAUUUUAAAGAUAGUGUACCAUUCCUUUAAUAUCCCAUCACAACUCUGACAGCCCUUGGGAACUGAUUACAGCACUUCCUUGCCUGAGAUCUAAGUCAGGAAGCAACUUUAGAGCAAAUCAGCCCUGAUUAGUUCAAGAAGCAACUUCCAAUUUGAUUCUCCCUGAAAUAAUAAAAGCUGGUGGCCUGUUUGAUAAACUGGGCAAAUCUACACUGCUUUGUCCCACAGUUCUGUGAGUGAUAAUCUCAGAAGUCGGCUGAACAAUCCUCCUUGUUAAAAAGUCAUCGGUAGUUAAUGUUUUGCAUGGAAAAUGUAAGCCAGAGUGAUAUGUUAUACAAAAAUAAUGCUUUGAAUUACAAUGAUCUGCCUCUUUUGGAUAAGGAGCACAGCAUAUUUAAUGAGACGGAAGAGGAGGAAGAGUUUUAUCUUUAAAAACCAAAUCUGCCUCUACAACAACUAACAUUGCAAGUAGAGAAGUAAAGGCAUUUAGAGAAAAGGGUGGCAGCAAAGAAGCAGCUCACACAUUUCUUCUUAGCUGUGAGGAUCACAGGUUUCAAGAGCAGAAGUAAUCCCACCCUAUAAUGGCAGAUGAAUUCCUCUUCCUUUAGAAGAUCAAACUUUGCAAGCUGCCUCUCUCUGCACAAUCUACUUCAGUAAAGAGCAAAAGUGCCAUCUUUUUGCUAGAGAGCAAACACAAUCUUUAUAAUUUUUUAUCCCUUCUUUAAAGGUUUUUUUCUACUUUAUUAUGUCCACUAGUAUAAAGCAAUUUGAAUGGCUAAAUAUGCUCUAAUUGCCUACAAUAAUCCAGCCUUACUAUUUAAAAUCAUUGCCACCCCCUUCUUCAACCAAUUAGAUCGCUGGACCCUGUUCUCAAACUGUGGAAAUCUUGAGAUUUGCUUUGAAUCCGACAGACUAUUCCAACACAAGUUAGCUGAGAAACCAAUCUUUGAAUUUACUGGACCGACAUUUUUUCUAUAGUACAGGAUGAACAGAACCUUCUGUUCGUGUGAUGUUGCAGCCACUGUGAGAACUUAAGUUGUUCACAGGGAGGCUUGGACUUCUCAUAGUUUAAAUUUUAAUUUCUAUCUAAGACAUCUUAAAUUCUUGACAAACUGGUGCACCCAGACUACAACUUUAACCUAAGCCCUCACUGAGUUUUGAAUUUCCAUAGUAAAAAUGUGUUGGAAAUCUUCUAGUCUCUCAUUUAGAAAUUACAGUGUAAUAGAUUUCCAGGUAAUGGCAGUAUAUCAAGUAAGGAUGUGCAUUUUCAGACUGCUCAAAAUGUUUAUGUGAUAGAACGUAGGGGCCUUAACUGAUAGCUCAACAGGUUAUAUUUUAGGUUGAUUCAUUUUAAAAUAAGUCUUAAUGGCAUUGAAAAGAAGUGUUUGGGCUCACAGAACUAUUAGUGCAAGAUUUUAAAUAUCCUGUAUGUGAUAUGUAUUUACCUCAGCUGCAUUUUAAAUAGUCUCUAUGCAAUAUGUCGCGCUGCUACUUUUAUAUCACUGUCAGAUUUUUACUUAUUUCAAAAACUAGUGUUGGGCUUUGUUCUUUUUUUGGAAAAGAAGAAAUAUUAGAAGUUUUGAUAAUUUAAAUUUUAUUUUGACUAAGUCAUUUUGGGAGAUGCUGCAGGAACACAAACAUCAUGUUGCAUAAAGAAGUAGGGACUUCUUUGAUAAAAACUGAUUACGUGAAAGUCAGAGGGACUGUGUAAAUGCUAAAAGCAGCUACAUGCUAAGAUUUCUGCAGGUUUGAGCUUAAAUCUCCUCCCCAACUCUGCCAAUAUCUUAAUGAACUCAUUCCAUCACUGACCCCUUUCAUGGUCCCAGAAAGGAUCUAUUUAGCAAAACUGCAGAGGAAUCGUACAAUAAAAAAAAUAUAUUUUGGAAAUGUUUUUGGCUACAGUUGAAUGGUGUGACUGUUUUAUUUGUGCUGUUCUGGUGAAGCAAAGGGACCGCAAGGCUGGGUUAGCUGUCCAGUUCAGUUCACUUAGGAAGGACCUGGCUACUUUGUGUGCAAGUGUGGCUGAGCCUUUUGCUCUCAGAAAUGUAACUGAUGAAACUCCCCAGGCUCAUUUGGCUGAGUGGCCAUCAAUGCCCAACAUCCCCAGCUCCAAAGGUAAUAAGUGAGGGUGGCCUCAAACACUUAAGCGAGAAAUCCCCUCUAGGGAAUAAUGCCAGGGAAGCACCUGUGACUCGGCAGGAGGAAAGGCAACUGGGAAAAGAUGGGCUCCAGAAGACCCAAAGUGACCCCCCAGUCACUGUGUCACAGCUGGAACACUGCAAAACAUGUCAGUAUAGCUCCUACAUUGAGAAUUAUUCAGAGACUUCUUUCUGCUCCUGCUAGCAAUACAGAACCGCUGGAGAUCUAUCUGUAUAGGGAGGUAUAUUAUGUUCUAAUUUAUCUGCCAUCUAAUUAUCUACAGUCUAAUUGAAAAAUGUUUCCUCUCAGUGAAAGUACAUGAGCCACAAAGAAAAUGUCUGCCAAUGGGAUCCCAGGGGAAGUGUUGGCAAAUAAACUGUAAAAAAGAUACCAUAGACUUGCAAAGUGAGAACAUUUCAGACUGGAAAUACUAUGGAAAAAAUACAUGGCCCACUAUUGAAUUUGUAAAGGGAUUGUAACUGCUAUUUUCUUUCUUUUUCCCUAUCAUUUUUUUCCAUUUGUCCAAUGCAUCAGCACGGUUUGGAGAUUUAAGUCUACUGCAGUGGCCACAACAUUAAUGUGAAAAUUGCAACCAUGAUCAUACAGCAAAAUAGAGCAUCCUUAUUUUUUAUUAUGUUUUUUUCCUCACCACUUCGAAACUUGAAAUUAAAUAAACUUAAAUUCCAUCUACUUGGGAAAUCAAGAAGGAAGCUACAGAAAAAUACUGACAACAUCACUGAAAACGGAACAGUUUCAAACACCAGAUAGCAUUUCAUUUCUAUUAGCUCCUCGUUAUGUUGCCCUGUUUUUAUCUAGCUCCUUAACUAUCUGGAAAUAUAGAAUUCAACUUAGGAUGAUCUCAUGGAGUUAGGAGUAUGAUAAAUGGUAAUUAAAUCUAUUUAAAUUGUCUGUAUUUUAAGAAACUCUCACUAGGAGGGAUGGAGAACAUCUCUGCUAUAGAGAAAUAAAUAAAACAUGUUAUGCAAAAGUGAAUUUAUGGUUCAUUUGGAAUUAGAGAUCUACCACCUUUUCAAUCCAUACAAAUGCAUAAUCUUGUCAAUUAAAUAUUAUUGUUAAGGUCUAGUAGUAUGUUAAAAUCACUUUAAAGUGCAACUAAGGAAAAUUCAUGUGUGUUUAUUACUCCUUAAGGGUCUAUUAGUGGGUAUUUUAUUCAGAUUUGUGUUGUAAAAUCUGCAUAAACUCAGCAUAUUGUUAUCCCCAUGUGUGCAUUUGUUUGGUUAAAGCAUAACAGCAAAUCUCUAUUACUGCAACUUCUGGAAAAGUCAAGAGAACUAAAACAGUCCUAAUUUUAAUCAGAUACAAACAGUUAUCUCUACAGAAGUGAAGAGUUGACUAUUAUGCAAAUUGUCACAGUUAGCGGUCACCAAGCCAUCACAGAAGACUGAGCAAGUCAAUUAUUUCAGAUAUUUCCAAAGACUAGUGAAGAUGUAUGUUUCUCAUUUCCACCUUGUCUUAUUCACGCCAAAAUAAGAAAAAUAUUGCAGCCUAAUGAUACUUGUUGAUAUUUUUUAUACACGAAAGCACCAUUACUUCAGUUCAAAUCUAAAUAUAAAUUAUGUUAGAAAUCCCUUAUUAGCUAUGUUUUAAUGGUGAUAUCAAAAUGUGCAAGAUUUUUGGAGUACACUGACAUUUCCUGUUGGUGGAAAUAUUUACAGUGAAAGAUGCUCUAAAAUUUGUGUAUGGUAUUGCUACGUUCAAGCAGAGUUUCUCCCCACACAUCUUUUCAAAACAGAAUUCUUCUUUUUGAAUACUAACCAUCUCUAGUUAUUAACAUGAAACUAAUUCCCUCAAUGUAUGGUAUAAAAAAAAGUCAUGUCAGACCACAAAACUGAUGGUUACUAAAGGAAUUACUGUCUUUCACCUUAAAGAGGAUGUCCAGCAGAAGUAGGAAUAAAAAUAAAAAAGUAUUUCAAUGACUCUGAUCAAAAAUCCUUCUGCACUGUAGAGGUAAAAACAAAUGCAACAAAAUAGAACAUAUUUAAACAAAUAUAGAAUAUAUUGGAAAUUGGGGGGGGCACUGAUAAAAUUGGGAAUUUUUGCAUUUUCUUCACUGUUGGAAGAAUUUCGUCCUGAGCUGCAUAUUCUUUUUAAAACUCUAUAUUUUCACAGAUAUCCCAUAUUAUAAUGCCACUUCAUAAGGACUGCUACAUACUUUAAAAGUAUGAAUUAAUUCAAGCUCAAAGACUCAUUCAGGAGAGAGUAUUACAGCUACAGUUUGCACAGGAGGACCCUCAAAGAGGCCUGGGUUUCUUUUCCAGUGCCAGAAGUGGUGAUGUGUGAUGGGUAGGAACCAAUUCCAUUGUAAUCUGCUGCUUGCAAACCUUGGCAUCUCACCACACAGAUGUACCAAGAGCCACCCGAGGUGCAGAGCUAGGGUGAGGAGGGACCUGCUCUGCUGGAAAAGCAGUUUUGAGCUGGUCCACGCCAGCACUGCACAGUUGAGCCCUCCAACACUCACAUAAUGGCAGGAUACAAGGGUGGAGGUGAAACAAAGGUGCAAAAAGGAGACACUUUUCCCAUUCCACCCAGUCCUCUGGUUAAUUUCUACUGGUAUUUAUAAUACAGAAGAAUAAAUUCAAAGAGAAGGAGAGGCAAGUGUUGCUAUUUUUCCUCAAGCCUAAAUGCAUAAUAUUCAAGAGACUAGGUCAAAGGAGUUACUCACAUCCAGUGAGAAUAUUCCUGCUCCUGUAUGUUUUUGAAAGCUAUUUAAUGCAGAAUAGUAACCUAGAUAACUUCCAGAAAUCCUAUGAUGUUUAUGGAGUGUUUAGAUCGAAACACAAAGGGUUAUCAAAGGCAAUUAUGUGGAGAACUAGCUUAAUGCAGAAAACUCCUGUGUCUAGAGAUCAAAGUCAAAUCAGAAUACUGAUUGCAUGCAAAAAUUAAUUUGUUCCAUCUCUUCCUAGGAUUCCUCAGAUUUUGGCAUGAUCUGACCGUCUUUGCUCAGAAAAGGAUCCAAGGAACUGGUGUGUUUACACAGUAUGACUGAGGUGAUUGCCACCGCUGGUCCAUGGUAAUUAUUGCAAAUUUGGGAGCAGGCACCGGAGUUUGUAAACUUCCAGUGGCAUCCAUACAGCCUGCGUGCUUCCUACACCCACUGUCUCACUCCAGUGGAUUUUAUGGGCUUCCUAACCUUCUACAGCAUUUAUGAUUAAUCUACAAAAACACUGUGAAAGAACAGGAUCAUUAGAAAGGUAAAACGAGGCAGGAAAUCAGGAAAUCUUUAGAACGAGCCCUGGGUAUUUCUUAUCCAACUUUAGGUAUUAAAAUUCCAGCAACAUCUAUGGCUCAGAUACAAAACCACAACGCCGCGCUGCCUUUUCUGCAGAGGAUCCUGACGCUCCGGCAGGAACGCCAACCUUGCCAUUUUCUGCCUUUCCCCAAUUUGUCAAAACUCCAGCGCCACUCGAGGCGCGCUUUCGGCCGGCCAGCAGCCGCCGGCGGUGGGAAGCCAUGGUGGCGCUCCGGACGGAGCCCUGGCUCGGGUCGGAGCCGCGGCAGCCGGGGCGAUGCCCGCCGGGCCGCGCCGCCCGCAGCGCUCGGCGGAGCCGCGGCUCCUCCGCCGGGCUGGAUGGGGCCAGCGGCGCGGGCUGCGAGCUCCGCGGCCGUAACAAUGGCCCUUUGUCCAGCUGUGGCCGCUUCCCCCUCCGCAGCCAGGCCUUAUCUGCUCAGGAAAUGCCUGCUUUAACUGACAGGGAAAAAGGAAAUAAAUGGGUGAAUUUCAGUCUUGACAGUUGUAAAUCUGUUACCAGGAUGAAGAAGUCAGAUGUACAGAUGUGCUGUUCUGUGGAGCUAUUCCUGAUUUGCAGAGGUAAGUGGGAUCUGGGACAGGUUUGUGGCUUCUAUCCCAUCAGAAUUCAUUUAUUUAGUGAGAAGAAAUAGAAGAUUAUUUACUUCAUAACAACUUUUAGAAAAUCCUUCUCAACAAGUGCUAAGGAACACUGUGUUCUUUCCUACUGCUAUUUUCCCUUCUUCAACAUGAAAAAGCAAAGCCUGGAAAGAGUAGAUAAGCUGAGAGUCCUAUGUGCCAUUCCAGUGAUCCACCAUCCAUUCCAUUCUUCUCAGAAAGGAAAUAUAUAUUUUUCAUUUAAAAUGCGACCCCUAAAACCUUGAAUUCUUCUCCUUGCUAGAGGACUGUCUACUCAGGAAAGAUUAAAAGCAUUUAAAAUUUUGAAGCUAGUUUCAUUCUUAGCACUGCAACCUGUAGAUUGUUCAUUUACCAUCUUCUUUUACAUACAAUAGAAGCUCAAAGAAUAAAAACUGCUCAGGUAAUUCUAUGAUGAUAGCUAAGAUACUUAAGAUGCCUAGAUUAUGUAAUGGAUAUACUGAAUCAAAAUACUGAAAUUAGGGAAAAAAAAUUCUCUAAUACUUUUUGAAUUGCAAUUCUUUUAUGUAGAUAUGGAAGACUGUAAAUUUCUCAACUAAUUUCAAACCCAAUUCUGAUAAUUAUAACCAUUAUAUUGUAAAUAAAAUAAUGUAAUAUAUUGGUUCUGAAGGGGGACAACUGAACUGGAAAUUUAAAAUAAGGUUAUGAUACGAAAAUCACACGAAAACAUUGAUCCAAAAAGCAAGCUGCUUCUACCAGGAUCAUUUUAUAAUUUCUGCUGUGGUCUCAGCUUUCACAACUGUACAUGCACCAUGUCCUGAGCAUGGGCUACAAGCUUUGAUGCCACACAACUCAAAGCCUUCUCCCAUGCCAUGUUGAAGCCUGUUCUGACAAUGACUUCACAGAGCAAUGGGAAAACACUUUUUUCCACCUGUUUGGGCUCUGAUUUUAAGAGGAUCAGUAUGUUCUGAUUGAGAAGAAUCAAAAGGGCUGCCUGUUUCACAAGGGAGUUUCCUGUUUGUUUCAGAGUAGGAAAUAAGCCUGAAACCACGUAAUAUUUCUUGACAAAGUGCUUUGCCAGUGAUGACCACAACAUUUUCAAACUGUUGCACUGGAAUGGCUCAUCUUUCUCUCAAGGUAACAACAGAGUUCACUAACACUAUCCAAAGAAAAUAAUUGUGUUUUCCACAUUAAAAAAAAAAAAUAAAUUACAUCAAUCUGUCAAACUAUGGACCUAUUCUCCACAGAGAAUUCCAACUGCCAGUAACACAGGGGGCACCUGAGCCCCACAUUGGAAAAAGGGUGUAAAACACCUACUUCUAAUGGGCAGCACCACUAGACAGCACAAAAGGCACCAUAGAGGUCUUCUUACAUAUUUAAACACAUAUUCAGACAUAUUUAAAUAUGCAGUGAGAGGCUUAUAAAAAGCAUACCAUACUAGACCUGUAAUUAAGUAAAUAUUAAUAUGCUUUACAUAUGCCGAACCAUUUAUCUGGACAAUAUUAAUUAUCAUAGUUACAUGAAGCAAUAAGCACUAAUGACAAUUCCUACUACCAUAUGUGAGAAAAGGAGAGGCUGAUAAAGAAGAGGAAGACAUUGGACAUUUUGAAAAAAUCAAUUCAAGAGCUUAAAGAGAUAGUGAUUUUCAUUGCAGAUUCCAAAUUAAAUGAGUCCAUCUUUGUGUUUUGUUGUUGUUUUUUUUGUUGUUUUUUUUUAGCAACCAGGACCUUUAAAAGGGCAAUUUUGCAAAGAGAAAUAACACCUUUGGACUUUUAAUGUAUGUUUAUGUAAAAUGUGAGUGGCAGUUCCAUGUUAAUAGACCUUGUUUAGGGGAAAAAAAAAAAGAAAAAAAAUCAGUUGCUGAACGAUGGUGAGUAAUUAGCCCCUUAGCAUCCCCUUUCUCCAGGAAUGCUUCCUCCUGAGCUGGCUCUUUUAAAUAGCUCCGGUCCUGGCUGCCUUUGUUGAGCUUGGAAAUUGUGCACAUAUGAGAGAAAUUAAGCCCUCAUUUAACAGGGACACAUGUCUGUCAAGUCCAGAGGAACAAAGGCUGGUCCCUGGGGGCUACUCAGCUCCCUGAGGCUGCCACUCAUUCUGUUAGCAAUGCUUACCCUUUACAGAUUGUGUAUAAAACCCAAUAAAUCAUUUCAUCUGCUCUGGUUAAUAUACGCAUGAGCCUGGGACUUCCUUCAAAGUUUUUUUUUUUCUUUUGCUUGCAACUCCUCACAUUUAUUAAGAAGUGACCUCUCUUUGCCAGAGUUUAGCCAGGUUUUUACCUUUAUGCAAUAACAUUAAUGUCUGUGAAGUAAACCUGAAGCAUUUACUGGCAGAAAUAAAGACAUUUGAUGCUGCAUCUAUUUCACACAGGAAAUGUUUUACGACUCUUUAAUGGUCAAUAAUCAUCAGUGUCUAUUGUAUAAAUUACUAUUAUAUUCUGUUCCUCCUAAAGUUAUGUCUAAAAUGCCUGCAUAUUUCAACUAAUAUCAAAAUGAUAGGGUAAAUAAAAUUACAGAUUUGUAGCCUUGCAUAGAAAGAGACUCUUUUCCUAAUUAAAACAAAUCAAAAGGAAAGUAAUAAAGAUAGCAUUUUAGUUUUGUUCUUUACAAAGUGUUAUCAUAUUGUCCUGGAUAAAUCAAAAGAAAAAGGACUCUGAAGAUUAAAAAAAAAAACAAACAACAACUUAAUUGCACAAAGUGAUAACUGAAGUAAACACAUGCAAGACAAAAAUAUUCAUGCACAAUAUAACAGCUGCCUCUGAGCUUUCUGUGGUGGAUGGACACACUUAUCCCCAAAUAUAAAUUCACACACAGAGCAGAGGAAUAUUUUACAGUUACAAAAAAAAAGUAAAAUGAAAUGCUGUCAUUUCCACGUGAGCUCCUUUUGUAUUUAAAAAGAGGGCCUAAUUCUGUACUUCUAGAAUUAAGACUGACAUAAAUGGAAAGAACAUGAACAACACCAGCUGAGGAAAUGGCACCCUGCACUGCAUUCAAUGAAGCAAAACUCUCACUAAGUUGAGCGUGAGUUUUUCCUUAUACUUGAGCAUAGGAUUAAGCAAAUACAGAAAAAUUACUGGUGUAGAAUAAAAAACAAAUUAAAGUGCAGAGUUGUAUCUUCUUUCUCUGAAAUGGUGAAAGAAAUAUUUCAAUGCCUGCCAUUAACAGGGCCCUUUUUUUUUUAAUUUUGUCCACUCUGCAAUUUUUAGCUAACACAUUGAAAGCCUGCCAUUUCUCAAGCAACAAUAUUACGCUUUGUAUUGAAAACCACAAAAUAAAGAGGGCUGACUGUUCUGACAGCUUUAAUCCUGAUGAUACUUGGAGACCCAAGUAAAAAGAAACUGGUACAGCAUGGAGUUUUCCCUGCUCAGCAGGCAGAGAAAAAGCAGUUCUGGAUUUGAUAAGUAAAACCAGAUCUAGUUGAUGGUUAUAUGCUAAAGCCCUGCAAUUAAUGGAAAACAUCAACAGUCCAAUGAUCUUGCAUGUCAGUGGGGUCUUUGAGAAGGCCUUUUCUCCCAUCUUGUUAAAAACUCAUCAGCUGUACAAGUCAGGACUUUUUUUGUGUACAGAAUCGUGCAUGUUCCUCUGUUGUCAAAGGGGAAGACAUAAAAUAUCAAGACUCCAGAUCCCAUUUAUACAUUAAACAAAUCCCUGUGCAUGUUAUUAUAGAUAUUUCUCACUGCAAAUUCGUGACACAGUAGCAAUGAAAAGCACCAGGCAGGAUUAUGCCCUCAACAUGAGGGGCUUCAAAAAUAUGAAGAUGUGGCCCACUUGUCCUGAAGGAUCUGACAGUCAGAAAAAACUGUUGUAGUAAUGGCUCAUUUUUGUUAAAAAUUGCAAUCACGGUUAAAAAACAUCCGUCCUGAGACUGUCAUCAAAGGCUACAAUUCAGUGUAUAUUAAAACCAAGAUAUUUACAAAUAAUAACACUUUAUAAAAACAAAUCUCUGCAAAUAAAACAUGAUACUAUUAUUUCAUGCCCCUGCAAUCCUGAAAGUGACAGAAAUGCAAUCAAUAACCUAUUUCUCCAUAACGAAAACUGUACAAUGCUAUGUACAUAUGUGCAUUGUUCAGCUCAAUAGGGAUCUACACCUUUGCCUCCACCACACGAACAUAAAGUGCAUUUCUGAAUAAUUGACUGAACAGACAUCAAAAAGGGAAGUGACUGUGUCUACUAUGCAGCCACAGUAACAGUCAGGAAUGAUUUUGAAAGUGUAAGUAAAUGAAAAGUAAGCCAUUAUCAGCAAAAAUAAGUGUGCCAUAAAAGUAGUCUUCAUUCUGGAAAGAACCUGGCUAAAUCUGAUUUGAAUUGGGUUCAAAUUAAAAACCUUGAUCCACAAGUCACAAAACAAAGUAAAGACUUUGUUUGAGCAGAAUCUGAUUCAUUCAUCAAUGCCCAUAUCACAUUUACUUGGUAACAGAAGAUUGGUUUCUAAAGUUGGUCAUAAGCAAGCAUUACCCCAGGGUGGAUUUUUCCCCUUGAGCAAAAGUGAUCAGAAACUCUGAGCCACUUUAUCCACCUACUUUUUACAGAUCAAAAUGCAAAAUGUUGCCGUGAAAACAAGGGAGAAUAUGCAAAGGUGUUAUAUGCUAUGUAUGCCACUGACAUAAUACUUUAAUAGGAUAUGCUGUAAUUUCCUGCAAUUAAUAUCUUAGCAGAGCUAUAAAGGCUUUUUUCCAAAAUUAUACCAUUGCAUUUACAACACUAAAAUUAACGUUGUGUCAACCUUUCCAUUAUAAGCCCCCUUCUUCAGAGGUUUAUAACUUGGCUGUAAAAAUAUAUUCUGGCCUAAAAUGUGGCAUGUAAGGUCCCCAUUUAGAAACAGACAUUUUGAUUAAAUAAAAAACAUUAUUUAAGUCUGUUUCAAGUAAGUCUUGAAUGCCCUACAAACUGUAGGGACUGCCAAGAAGUGUAGGCAUUCUUCGAAUAAAAACUUAUUUUCUCUCCACAAUAAAGCCACUGUUCAAAGGACGUUUCACAGCCACGGAAUUUGCUCCACAUCUGCAAGGAAAAUACGUGGAUUUGGGAAACUGCAGACUUCAGUGAGAGCAGCCUCCCCACUUGCCUGUUUGUGUGUGACAAUGGCUGUGCUUCUGGUCAGCAGCUCAGCCACAUGGGAGACUCAAGCUACCCAAAAUGGUUUUCGUUUGUGGCCGGGCAGUGGGUGAGAGGAACAAACAGAUAUUUCUCUGUCUGGCUGAAGUGGAUUCACUCUGGCUUAAAGAUCCAACAGAGUAAAUUAGGGCAAGUGAUAAGUUCACAGAAAGUCAUGAUAAAGAAUAUGAUCAAAAUGGCAGAGAACCACCCUAUGAAUUCUGAAACCACACAUUUCAAGUCUGUCAAAUUUCAUGAAAGAACUGGAUCAAGCCACUUCGGAAAUUUAACUAAGGUGCUUAAAUUAGGAACCUCGUUGUCUAAUCAACAGAAGGUAAUUCACAGCACCUGGACUGCUUUAUAUAUGGAGCCAAAAGUCCUAAUUCAGUCACCCAAAUUAGAUAUCUAAAAUUAGAUGCCCCCAAAUAUCUAUAUGCUUUUUAUUCUGCCUCAAAAGAGUGUUGUGAGGAUAAUACCCUUCAGCUUAUGAGACACUCAGAUAUGCAGUUACAGAGGAGAUGAGUAUCCUGAAAAUAUAUCACCAAUAAAAUUCAAUGAGAUGGAAAAGGCAAAGCUAGAAAUGUGAUAGUAGCGUUCGUCAUACCAAUCACUCCUUGUCAGAGCAAAAACAAGCUCCAUACCCCCUCUUCUGAGUAGGGUUUAUCUCUAUAUAUUAUAUUAUAUACAUUGCUUUGUCAAGUACAGAACCUCAGUCUGUGCUUAGGCUAUUAGGUACAUAUUGCCCUAUUUUGUUACCUGUAGCCAGUAGCCACGCAACGCAUUUGUCUACCUGAUCUAGAUUUUAAGCCAAACAUAUAUUCUCCCAACUGGUUAAUCUCUCAUUUACAGAAUAAAAAUGCCUAAUAUGUUACUUGGAAAUAAAGUUCACUAACUCAGAAGUGCCUUUCCAUACUGUGCAACAGUGGUGUGUCUCAAGAUGGAUUUCACACUUCACCAUCAACUGUGAAGUUCUUUGCUUUUAUUAUUUGGUGUUACAACUUUAAUGGUUUCUUACACUGUCAUUUCGGGUGGGUGAAUAAGAUUAAUUCAGCAUUUCAUAAUGCACCAUUGUAUACUGUUUACAUCAUUUAUUUUCUUUUUACUGAAUGAUUACAAAUUUCAAUUUAAAGUUAAUAACAUUUGGUGGGAGUUGCUACAUGUGAAUUAACUGUGGUGAUGUCAGUGCAUCCCUCUGGAAUUUAAAAGAUAUUUCACUGUGUUAUAUCAUGUGCCGCACAGUAUAUCAAUUUUUAUUUCCCAUCCCUCAAGUAUGGAAUGCACACUGUGUAACUUCUAGAUUCUCAAUAUAGACAUAAUUUACCCAAGCUGUGCAAAUGCCCAACUUGCUGAAGAUGAUAUACACAAGAUUUAUAUUAAAGGCUAGUUCUUUCAAGGAAGCAAAAGCCUUGCAUACUACACAAGACACUAUAUUAUCUAAUUAUUUGGGGAGAGGGCUUUCUAAUGUUACAGACAAAGGGAAAUAGCAUGUAAACUGCAGUCAUAAACCAAUUUUUCCUUACUUUAACAACUUUAAGAUUAGAUAGGUAAAUCCCAGGCAAAGCCAUUUAUCCUCCUUGAGAACUACGCUUCGACAUUUUUGUGAGUGUCUGGAUCAGCUGGUUGCAUAAAACAGUGAAUAUUAGAAAUAUUCAUUCACUUUACUUUUACUUACAUGCCAUCAAGCAUAUACCAAAUGUUUAACAGCAUCUAGUUUACUCAUUUGCUGGAUUGCACAUACUACUGCUUUCUUUAUGUGAAUUCAUAAUUCCUGAAUGCAUUCAGAGAGCAAUGCACUUACUUCUUCCUUGCUGUCAUGAUAUUAAGUAUAUUAAAAAUAAGUUUUUAUGCUCAAAUUGAUUCAGUAAUACGCUUACAUUCUGGAAUAUUCCCACAAUUACAACUAAAAAAUGCUUUGAUUCCUAGGCCAGGAUUUAGUUCAUCUGAUAAAUUUAAGUUUUUACUGUGAGAUUUCAAGAAGUAUUUUACAAUUUAUUUGCUAUAUGCUUUUGGCCUUUUUAAUGUGGGGCUGUACUUCAUCAUUUUCCUCCAAGUACCUGCUUCUGCAGACAGAAAUUUUGACCUCUGAUAUCAUCACAUUCCAGCUUUGUCUGUAUAUCUGAAUAUCUCCAUAAAUCAAGUCAUUUCAAUACUAGAAUUUAUUAAAUGUUUUCUUUUUCCAGUAUCUACUGAUUAGUGCGUCAAAUAGUGGAGGUGGCAGAAUUAAAAAAUAUAAAUAAAUAAAAAGGAAAUAGAAAAAAAGCAAUGCAAAACUUGAUUGUUUUCCCUCUUGGCUAUAACGUGGUUGUCAAACAUAAAAAUCAUCACAGGAAAAGUAACUGAAUGUAAUGAAGGGCCAAUAUCUCAAACAGUUUCUGUCAGUCCUGGGAUAUGCUUCCAUGUAACAUGAAAAAGAGCUGGCAAGCCCAAAUGGUUGCCUCUUUUUUCCAGCUACAUCUAUUUGUCUAAUGAAACAAAUUACAUUCCCUAAAAUCCCUGCCACAUUUAUACCUUUGAUAUUCCAACCACAAUACUAAUAUCCCAAGUCCUUCCUUGCAAGAAGUGCUCACUUAUGCAAAGCCCAGUUGUGUGAGUAACAGUACACAAGUCAUCAAACACUGCCUGAGCAGGAAUUACUCAAGCAAAUAAGGCUUCACAGGAUCAGUCCUGUUGGAUAGGCUGCCAGUUGGCACCAUUUCCACUCCCAGUUAUCCAUUUUACUUUGUGCACAUGCCACUUAGGAAUGAAACUGGAUUUCUGUGCUGGAGCAAAUAGCUCCAUUACUAUUGCAUUAUCCCAAAUAUUGCAAUAUUGAAAGGAGAACAUCAUCAGACUGACGAAAUGGCACCAGAGAUGUUCAGAGGGGCAUCACCUCUUCCAAACUUCUUGGGAACCAGACAAGGGUGCCUGGCUCAGCCACAGCUGUUGCUCCACACUAGGCUAGAACAGGCAGAGCACCAACCAAGAGUGACCCCCAAGCAGCAGCACAGGUGGGCAGCAAAUAUUUACUAGAUCCUCUGCUGUUAUUCAGGAGCUGCUUAUAAUCUGCCUCUAAAUUAAAAGGGCUCAAAUCAUGGGCUCUUCUAUAAGUGAAGCCCGCAGAAGAAGUGUCUGGGCUGAAUAGAAUCAGUGAGAUUUUAGCCUCUGGCUUUGGCAGAGGCACAGCUGCGAACAAGCCCUUAAGCCACUGGUGAGGAUGCAGCACAGCACGCCCCAAGCAAACGAAGCAGCAGGACUUGAACUGGGGAUGCCUAUAUCUUCAUUUCCAAUUUUAAAACACACGUGGGAGAGGGAUAGUGGGAGGACAGCUACUAUUAUUUUCUGCACCAACAUGAGCCCAAGAAACAAUGACAUUUACUUUGGUUUAACUAAUUUCCACACAUCAGAUCAUGUUCGGCACCCGUGUGCCAAAGUCCUAUUCUUCAAGUCUGUUGAAAUACUACUUUUCGAAACAUGUGUGCUAACAUUUGGCCAACACCACCACAAGAUCAUUUUAUUAACUUGUAGCUCAUUUCAUAGACUGCUGCUCAUGUUGCUAACAUAUGCUAUUCUACCAUUUACUGCUCUAUAAUUAGAGAAGUCAUAUGAAAGAGAUACACAAGGCCUAAUUUUUGCAUUAAAUACAAUUUGUUUAGACUCGGGUAGGCGAAAUAAGGAAAAAAGGAGUCACAUAGUGAAUUAGAAAACUGAAAGACAGCUAAUUUAACUCCUAAAAGGUCACAGCAAAAAAUUUUUAAAACACAGCCUCCCUGCCCCCUCAUGACUGCAUACAGUUUUAAGAGUCAAAUCCAGAACUAUAUUCUGCUCUGCCAGGAUAAAACUUGUUUCCAGGGACUGAGGGCCUCAGGGGCAGAGCAGCUAGGAGGAUCCUUGCAAAUGGGGGACUAAGGGGUAAGAUCAGAAGCUUACAACUAGCAGAGGAGUAUGAACCUUUCACACACUGUGUCUUUUCCACCAUCACCACGCUGUUAUGCCAAAGCAUUUGUAGUAUGGAAGAGGUGGAAUAAAGAUAGAGAGCAUCACCAGAAUAUUUAUUAUAGCAAUAUUUAUUAUUGAGCAGCAUGUGCUGCUCAGAGAAGGCAAGGAUCCUACAUCACUUCUCCUUCCUCACAGCUGACAGAGAAAAUUCCAAGCCAGCUGGCCAUGAAGAUGCCUUUUACUGGGAAAAGCUGGCUGUUAACAGAUCUUUUGCUUGAAAAAUUAUCACAUAAGGACUUUAGAACUCAUUAACAAGCCAGUAUGUAACAAUAAAUAAAAUAUCAAACAUUUGACUUUGAUGUUUAGCAUAUUUGUCUUUCCUCCAUUGGACCAGUUUCAGUUUUCACCAGGCAAGUUAGGAGCUGGACAGGAGCCGUGGUGCCACACCUAGGGCAGAGCCUCUGAAGUGGAAUCAGCGAUUUAGCAGCCAGCUACAAGUUACAGGCACACAACAGCAUUUCUCUCUUCCAACUGCACACAACUGCAUUGCAGAAGGGACUCGGAUAUAUAUUAUUUUUAAUACUGAGCUGCUUAAAAAACAGUAAAAAUAUAUACCAGUGACAGCUGGGAAUCAAUUCACAAGCAAACUGGGUUUUAAGGGAAAUGCAUCCUUUCUACUGUAAAUUAAUAAACUGCAGCUAUAGUUUAUUAAGCCACCACAAUAUUUUACAUUUUCUAGUGCCGUAAUCUUGACUGCUUAUAAAUUACAGUACUUUUACCUAUUCUUUAAUCCAGAAACAUCAUUAUUAAAAUGUUUGAUGGAGGCUGCAGUGCAUCUAUCAUUGCUUGUAAAAGUUAAUUAGAUUAGAUAAAAGAAAUAAUUAGAUUUGCAUUUUUAUCCUGGUUUUAAACUUCCAAAGAAGAUCACAACAGUGUGCCUGUGGGCAAUUAAAAACAGCAUAGAGCAGUGAAAUAUAAAGGCAAAAAAGGUCUGUUUUUCCUAGCUAAUUCAUGAUUGAAGAUACAAUUACAAAAUAUUUUAAGGGUUUGCUGAAGCUGGGGGCUAUUCCUAGACUUCUAAGCUUUGUUUAUAACUCUCUCUCUCUUUCAAGGGAGUAUCUGAUUUGUGUACCCUGCCAAUAGAAAUAUCAAAUUGCUUUCAAUGGCUUUAUUUGGUCCUGUGCAGGGCUUGCUGGAAGGGGAUCAGUUUCAUGAUCAAUAACCAAAAAAAAAAAAAAAUAGAAAAGAAAAGAAGAAAAGGUAGAGAAGAGUAUUCCCUAGUGCUGGAACAGUACAGCUGCCAUUGCUUUUUCUUGUCAACACUAAAUAGAAUUUACAAAGAAAGACAGCCUCAGACAGCAUGACUGAGCUGACAAUGACUGGAUUCCAGCUUGUGCAUUUUCAGCAAACUCUCUGCAAGGAGCUUUAACCUGUCUCCAAAAGGCAAUAAAUGAAAGUUCAGCUCUUUAAAAUUGGAGGUCAGUUACAUACUUAAUGAUGAAGCAUAGCUUUAAAUCUAUUUCUACUAUUAUUAUCCUAGCAAAAAAUUAAUUAACCAGGUCAGGGAGGCUGUGAAGGCUAAUGUGGAAUGUAAUUAUUCCUGAUCUUUAGACAUGUACUUCACAUAAAGACAUAGUCCUUAUUCAGCUCACCAGGUACCUCAAUUGUCAGUAGUUAAUCAUGGAUAAGAAGAGAGACUCAUUGGUUCAGUCUCUUAAGUUUUACUUAUGAUUCAAAUCAUUCCUAUUCAAAGACAGUUUAAAUAGUUGUAAUUUUAUGUUACCAUUCUUUUGUCUGUUUACUAUCACAGUAAUCACUUUUACUCUAUUUGAGGGAAACAGAAAAGGUAAGAACAUUUAUAGGAAAGUAGAACAGCAUGAAUGUAUAGAUUAAAACUUGAAAAAAAAAAUUAGGAAUAAUUUCUAGUGGCUGAAUUAAAACAGAAGACUUAUGAGAGCAGAGGAAACCAGUUUCCAUAUGCAGUGGAAAUUGUACUGAUUCAAACAGGAAACAAAAUGCUCUGCAAUGGCAUUGGGCACAGUAAAGAGGAAAAAGGUGAAGGGAAAUGGACAAAAGCAGCUUGGAUCAUCUUUCACAGUUAUCCUCAUCACAGAUUUCUGCAGAAAAGCUCAAUCAUCACUGUCCCUUUUAAAGACUUCAGAUUUAGGACUUGCUCAGAUGAAACCUACCCACAAGGAGGAAAGCCCUAAAAACUUUCAUCCCUUAAAUCCACAUACACACCCCCAUUCUCAGAGGGAAAUCCUGGAGCAACAGGCUCCAUGUGGAGCCAGGUGGAUCAGUGGGAUCCACCUCUUUUCCUCAGAUGGGCAUGGUGGGGCUCAGAAGAAUUCCCCAUGCCUCAUUCUGAAAGGACUGGAUUCUCAUAAUGAGGCACAGAAUUCACAGGGAUUUCAGGACCCUGUUUUGGAAACAUUUAAGAAAUGCAUGUCUUCACUUUUUCCCAUCUCAUCUUCAUGAUGUACUAUGGAAUUCCUCCCUUAACCAGCUUUUUCACUUAUUCCUAGAGAUUUUCACUUUCAUAGCACAGGCUAAGAGAUGUUCUUGAAUUAGUCCAAUUAUGUUCCCUCUACUUCAGAAUGAAUAUUUUUUUUAUUAAACAAUCAAAUGAAAAAGCAUAUAUUUUACAAAAAUCUUAAUCAACCUGGAGACAGAUCUCUGAGCUCUUAUUUGCCCCACGUUAUUUUCUCAACUUUAAUUUGCACUGAAAUCAAUUAUUUCUCUGCACAGCUCUGCAGAAUAAAGAACUUAAUUUGGCAUACUAGAUUUCCUUCCAUCUCUGUGGACUCCUCUGUAGAAGAGUGUUUAUGAACAUUAUGAACAUUUGAGCUGAAAAGUAAUAAUACACUGCAUUUAUUUGAAAAUUUUCGUUUAAAAUACUCAAAACAUUACAUUUAAAUUGAGGGAAAGGAUAUGAUUUGCCAAAUUUCUGAUAAUCAGAGACAGGACUGAGAAGUCCAGAUUCCCACUCCUUUUAGCCAACAAAACUGCUUUUCCCAACACAUAGACUGAUAGAAACAUUAGCUUCACGUAGAAGACAUCAGAUGAUUAUGCAGAACAUUUAAUGACCUCUGUACUCUUGAAAUACCUACCUUUUUUUGCAUACACUAAGUCUAGAUAAAGUGCUCUUUGGUCAUAGAUUAUUGACAAAGUUUUGGAUGUAUAAGAAGUCUGCAGUAAGGUGCUCCAGUAAAUGGUCUCAAAACAAAAUUUAAAAAAAAAAAAAAAAAA